UUUUUCUUUAAUUAUGGUAAAAUAUCCAUAAUAUAAAACUGACCACUCGAAUCAUUUCUAAGUGAGCAGUUCAGUGGCAUUUGGCAUACUUACAUUGUUGUGCAGCCAUCACCCCCAUCCAUCCACAGAACUUUUUCAUCUUCCCAAACUGAAACUCUGUAUCCAUUAAAUAACAAAUCCCCACCCUUCCCCGCCCCUGGCAACCACUGUCUACUUUCUGUCUCCAUGGAUUUGACUACAGUGUGUCUAAGUGGGAUCAUUCAGCAUUUGUCCUUUUGUGACUGGCCUAUUUCACCCCUCUGUUUUAUACCUUUCUGCUGCGUGGCGCUUUGGCUUUCUAUGUUCUGCGGCGGUGGGUGGUAAAGUGGAUGUCCUGCUUUUAAUUCUGAGGGCUCGCUUCUCAGUUUUCAAAAACACACUUUAAUCUCUGAUUCUCCAAUUAUCAAGCAUUUGCCAUGAAAUGAUACUUGCUGCUCCCCAGCACUGCAGACUGUGUAAGAGACAUCUCAGCCAGCAUUUGGAUUAAGUCAAACCCCAGGAAUCCGCACCUCCUCCACCUCAUCACCCAAUAAAAAAGGUGGAGAAAUUGAGGCCCCAAGCAGGGGCAGACUCACUGGGGUCACAUGACACAUGCUGGCUCGCCCAGGCCCUACUCAUGUUUCGGCACAACGACCCUGCUCUGCCUCCGUCCCCAAGACCCUGGGCUGUGCAACCAGGGCCAGACCUGUUCUUCAGCCGCACCAGGGCCUGGCUGUGCCUCUGCCUGUCAGUGGCCAAGCCCUGAGCCUGGAGCCAUCCAGAGCCGCACGGAACCCACAGCCUGCAGGGUGGGGCUAGACAUGGCUCCUCCUGCCCGCCCGUGGGUCGUACACCAGCUCAUUAGAGCCAAAGCAGCAUCGAUUUUGUGAAUGAUGAGCAUGUGUACGUGUUUUUGGAGCCCUGGUGUGAUUUGGCGUGUGCAGCUGAUGAUUCAGGGGGGUCAUGUGCAAACGACACGCCUUAUAAAUGUGAACCCACCAGAACGCCCCGUUACGGAGAUUUACACUGAUCCUUAAACAUCGUAGAUUAAUUUUUGGAAAACAUCUAUAAAAUAAGAGAUUUAUACCUAAAACAAUACCCUAUGCUGUGACAGGAAGGGAUUAGAGUCAAUUUAUUCCUGUAUUAGUCAAAAACUCAAUUUCAUAUAUUGUGUGGAAAAAUUAAAACCCUUUCUACAUUUUAUUACAAAUUAUGCAUACUCCAUAUAUGGAGAUAAAUAAUUGAUAGCAUUACAAAUACUUAAUCUAGAAAAUAUUUAUUAGGAACAGACAACUCAUUUUUCAUGUGUUUUGUUGAGAACAAUAUUGCACACUUUAAAAAAUUAAUGAUGACUCUUUGCAAAAAUAAAUGUCUACAUCCUAAUUCUUUUGUUUAGCAUUGUGUCCAAGCCAGGCAGACGCAGCCGGGCAGUGGGCAGGUGGCCAUGGAGCUGGGAUGUCCACUCCCUGGCCCCUGGCUGUGGAUGGGUCAGAGGGCUCAUGUGCUGUGGCAGUUGGCCAGGGAAGGUGCAUUUGGAGAGUGUCAACAUACUGUUUGUCUUCUGCUGUGCAAACUCUCCUCGACUUGUAAUUUAAAACUAAAAGUGUUUCCGACUUAAUUUCUGAGAAAGCACCAAGUAAUGGGAUUUGUGGAUGGACUUGAAGAGCCAAGAAAUCAACACUGACUGCCUCUCGACCUGGAGAAUUACGGAGCCCAUGAAUUCUCUGGGCCUCAGCUCUGGUCCCAGGCUCUGUGCACAAAGAGAGGUGGGCCUGGUGGGUGGUGCGGAGCUUGGCCUUGUACUUCGUGGCUGGCUCAGCCUGCCCUCCUGGGACAAGUGGCUCUGCCGGGUUCUGUGUGCCUCCUGGCAUCUCUCUGAGGGGAGCUCCCAGCCUCUGCCUAGAAUACCUGGGCAGCGUGUUCAGACCUGGGGCCCCCUGCACCAUCACCCCAUUCCAGGCUGGGAAGCUUGAGGACCCAGGCAGGGAAGCUUGAGGACCCAGGCAGGGCCCCAGUGUGCCACAGGGCUUGGCCACUGUGCAACUGCACUGCAGCUCUGGCCUCUGGCCGGGCCUUGCUUACCGACCUCUGCCCUCUGCCGUGUGUCCUCCACCUUGGCCAUGCACAGCGGGGGCUAGGCGGGCACAUGGUGGAGGCUGCCAAUGGUGCCCUGGCAAGUUCUCUUCGCCCUCGUGCCAGCCACUCCAGGGAGCACCAGGGAUUGAAUAAAUAACUGCCACGUUUAUUAAAAAAUAAAUUUGGUGCCUAACGGAAG
rnacentral:lncRNA from 1 species